rnacentral:rRNA from 1 species
GACGAACGCUGGCGGCGUGCUUAACACAUGCAGGUCGAACGGUAAGGCCCUUCGGGGUACACGAGUGGCGAACGGGUGAGUAACACGUGGGUGAUCUGCCCUGCACUUCGGGAUAAGCCUGGGAAACUGGGUCUAAUACCGGAUAGGACUCCUGGCUUCAUGGUUGGGGGUGGAAAGCUUUUGCGGUGUGGGAUGGGACCGCGGCCUAUCAGCUUGUUGGUGGGGUAAUGGCCUACCAAGGCGACGACGGGUAGCCGGCCUGAGAGGGUGACCGGUCACACUGGGACUGGGAUACGGCCCAGACUCCUACGGGGGGCAGCAGUGGGGAAUAUUGCACAAUGGGCGCAAGCCUGAUGCAGCGACGCCGCGUGAGGGAUGACGGCCUUCGGGUUGUAAACCUCUUUCAGCUAUGACGAAGCGCAAGUGACGGUAGUAGCAGAAGAAGGACCGGCCAACUACGUGCCAGCCGCCGCCGUAAAAC